CAAAGUGCUGGGGUUACAGGAAUGAGCCAUCCACCAUGCCCAGCCUUGUUUACAUUUUGAAUUAAGUGACCGGGUGGAGGCAUUCCAUCCUGCAGCACUCUCAGCCUCAGGACGAGGAGGAAUGGGAAGAGAGGGAGCUGGGAGGAGAAAGUGAACAGGAUCGGAGAUUCUGUGUUUCUCAACACAACAUCUUCCCUCAGCUUUGCAAAGGGAAGAGCUGGAUUUGAAUCCUGGCCCAUCCAACUUCUGGCCAGGAGUUGUUGAGAAGAUUACCCACAACCUCACAGAAACUUGGUUUCCUCAGCUAAAAAUUAAUAUAAUAAAAUCUCCUUACCUUAAGCUUUGCAAAGGCUCAAGGAAGUAUAAAUUGCUUCUCAGUAGUUACUAGGCAGUUAUCAUUAUGUAAAGUACAGCUCCCACUUUGAGCAGAGGGCAUAGACCAGUAGAUGCUAUUCUGAAUAACCCACUCCAGCAAGGCUCCAACGGAAGGAAGUAAUUAUACAGUAUUAGAUUUGAAUGUAAGUCCUCUCUGGCCCUAGGGUCCUUUUCUACCAGAAAUGUGCAUCUUCUAAAACAGUGCCAUAUGUUGGAGGAGAAUGGGAACAAAUAAGUGUAGUUGCCAGUGCAUUUGGAUCAUUCGAGGAGUGUUUUCAAUUUUUUAGUAGAAAAAAUGCUAAUAAGCUUAGAAAAUGUCCCCAUUCUUCUAGGCCUCAAAGCAUACUGAAGUCAUCAUUUGUUACAUAUUUACUAAGCAUCUACUCUGCGUCAGACAUUGUGCUAGGGAAGAUAGACAUGGCCCCUUCCCUCAACGAUACCUCGAUGUUGAUUUAUACUUUAAACAAAGAGUUACACAAAUAAGUAUACAAUCCAAAUGGUGAUCAGUGCUAUGAAGGAGGAAGUCAGGAUGUAUGAGGGCCUGAAAUAUAGAAAACUAUGUGAGCUUUACCUUUCUGAGAUAACUCUCCCUACUCCUCCAUGCAGGAAAAGGAUUUCUUGUGAAAAGCAAUGGUAGAAAAGCAAUCCAAGGAAGCAAAAUGAAAGCCAGCGUGAGUUAGAAAGGAGCGGCAGGUAUAUGAUGUUCUGGAUUGGACUCUCCUUCAUUCCUCGUCAAUGAAGUGGCUCAGGAGCCAGUGUUUAUUUUGCUGACUAAUUGGCUUUUGAGCCACGAAGUAGUGUCCUCCUCAGACUUAUGACUCUUUCCCAAGUGAAGACUUGGGUGGCUUAAGCAUCAUGGAUAUUAGCAGGCGGGAAUGAAGAGGGUCCACUUGAAGUAUAAGAGUCAGCACCAAGGCCCGUGGAUCUCAUGGAAGAUGGCGGCACAAUCUGUGUCUGGCGUUAUCAGAAGCGUCUUCACGUGCACAGUCUCAGGGGCACCAGGUAGAGAAUUUUGGUCUCGAUUCGGAAAAGAGAAAGAGCCCGUGGUUGCUGAGACAGUAGAAGAGGUGAAAAAGGAGCCUAUCCCAGCGUGUCUACCCUUACAAAGCCGAGCAUAGCAUACGCACCACCUGAAGAUCUGCAGAACCGUUUGAAAUCUUAUGUUGAAGUUUUUGGUUCAUCUCCUCCUAGACGUUGACAUCUCCCUGGAAGAUGGUCAUCUAAAGUUCAAUCUCUUGGAAUAUUUAGCUGAUGGUUGGGUCAUAUAGUCCCUAACUCCAGACUCUACCAGAUGCGCAGGAUUAGAGAUGUUCUUGAUUUCCAUAAUAUCCCUAUUCAAGAUAGAUCUAAAUUUAAUGAACUCAGUGCCAGUAAUCUGCCCCCUAGUUUGAAAAUCACUUGGAGUUACUAAGCAAUUUGGAAGAGAAACACAUUGCAAUCAUUUUUUUUUUUCUCUGAGCAAGGGGGCUGCUUAUUAGACCUUUUCAUACUUUACCGUGUGAAAUACUACCAGAACUGUUCUCUAAACCCACUUUUUCUGUAGAGGAAUGUAUCAUCUCUUUUCUUUUCUCUCUCUCAUAUUAUAAAUGGACAAAUAACAGGACUUUCUAUUUUCAUAUUUGCUGAAACCAUUUUUUAAAUGAAAUUAGGUCAUUAAUAAUUUAUGAAAAAUUCUGAGAGGACACUGCCAUUAACUUGGGUUUAAGACAGGAGGACACUGCAAGUUUACACCCUUCGUAGGCAUAAAGUAGCAGUUGCAAGAAAAUAUAUGUUCAUCCUGUUGGGACUCAUAUCUAAGCUAGAGUUUUUAUUAUGCAUUGCACAUAUACAAAUAAACUUGUAUUAGAUAGAUACCUAAAAAAGAAACGUAAAUUUAUGUUGUGUAUUACUGACCGUUCUAGAUUAAUUUCUUUUGGAAUUAAAGUAGGUCUGUUAAAGUG